UGCGUAGGCGGCUUCUUAAGUCGGAUGUGAAAUCCCUGAGCUUAACUUAGGAAUUGCAUUCGAUACUGGGAAGCUAGAGUAUGGGAGAGGAUGGUAGAAUUCCAGGUGUAGCGGUGAAAUGCGUAGAGAUCGGGAGGAACACCAGUGGCGAAGGCGGCCUACUGGGCUUUAACUGACGCUGAGGCACGAAAGCAUGGGUAGCAAACA
rnacentral:rRNA from 1 species